rnacentral:rRNA from 1 species
CCAAUCGAACCCGGAGAUAGCUGGUUCUCCUCGAAAUAGCUUUAGGGCUAGCCUCAUGAGAGUCUUAUGGAGGUAGAGCACUGAAUUGCCUAGGGGGCGUCAAAGCUUACCAAAGCAUAUCAAACUCCGAAUGCCAUCAAGAUGAUUCAUGGGAGUCAGACCAUACGAGAUAAGUUGGAUGGUCAAAAGGGAAAGAGCCCAGACCUACAGCUAAGGUCCCAAAGUGCGUGUUAAGUGGAAAAGGAUGUGGGGAUUCUAAGACAACUAGGACGUUGGCUUAGAAGCAGCCAUUCAUUGAAAGAGUGCGUAAUAGCUCACUAGUCGAGAGUCCCUGCGCCGAAAAUGUCCGGGGCUGAAACACGACACCGAAGCUUAGGAAUGUGUAAACAUUGGUAGAGGAGCAUUGCUAGCGGGAUGAAGCCAUACCGUAAGGAGUGGUGGACUGCUAGGAAGAGAGAAUGCCGGAAUGAGUAGCGAGAUGAAGGUGAGAAUCCUUCAGGCCGAAUAUCUAAGGUUUCCAGAGUAAAGCUGAUCUGCUCUGGGUAAGUCGGGACCUAAGGCGAGGUCGAAAGACGUAGUCGAUGGAUAACAGGUUGAAAUUCCUGUACUAUGAUAUGACAGAACUGUGGGGACACGUGUGGAAAGCGGAAGCCGGGAAUGGAAAGACCGGUGCAAGCAAGGUAGGAGACUGGUUGGCAAAUCCGCCAGUCAAUCUGAAGAUGUGAUGCGUACUGAAAUAUAAGUAAGGAAGUCCGUGAGCCAUGCGUCAAGAAAAGCCGCUAUUGUUCAUAUCGUACCCGUACCGUAAACCGACACAGGUGGAUGAGGAGAGAAUCCUAAGGCCGACGGGAGAAGCAUUGUUAAGGAACUCGGCAAAAUGACUCCGUAACUUCGGGAGAAGGAGUGCCAUGAGAGUGGCCGCAGAGAAAUGGCCCAAGCAACUGUUUAGCAAAAACACAGGUCUAUGCAAAACCGCAAGGUGAAGUAUAUGGGCUGACGCCUGCCCGGUGCUGGAAGGUUAAGGGGAGAGGUUAGCGCAAGCGAAGCUUUGAACUUAAGCCCCAGUAAACGGCGGCCGUAACUAUAACGGUCCUAAGGUAGCGAAAUUCCUUGUCGGGUAAGUUCCGACCCGCACGAAAGGCGUAAUGAUUUGGGCACUGUCUCGACAAUGCACCCGGUGAAAUUGAAAUACCAGUGAAGAUGCUGGUUACCUGCGCCAGGACGGAAAGACCCCAUGGAGCUUUACUCCAGUUUGAUACUGGGAUUCGGUACUGCAUGUACAGGAUAGGUGGGAGACAAAGAAGGAUGGACGCCAGUCUGUCCGGAGUCGCUGUUGGGAUACCACCCCUGUAGUACUGGGUUUCUAACCAGUUGCCAUGAACUGGCAAUGGGACAAUGUCAGGCGGGGAGUUUGACUGGGGCGGUCGCCUCCGAAAGGGUAUCGGAGGCGCUCAAAGGUUCCCUCAGAAUGGUUGGAAACCAUUCGAAGAGUGCAAAGGCAGAAGGGAGCUUGACUGCGACACCGACGGGUGGAGCAGGUACGAAAGUAGGACUUAGUGAUCCGGUGGUAUAAAGUGGGAUUGCCAUCGCUCAACGGAUAAAAGCUACCCUGGGGAUAACAGGCUUAUCACUCCCAAGAGUUCACAUCGACGGAGUGGUUUGGCACCUCGAUGUCGGCUCAUCGCAUCCUGGAGCUGUAGCAGGUUCCAAGGGUUGGGCUGUUCGCCCAUUAAAGCGGUACGCGAGCUGGGUUCAGAACGUCGUGAGACAGUUCGGUCCCUAUCCGGCG